rnacentral:rRNA from 1 species
UACGGAGGAUGCAAGCGUUAUCCGGAAUUAUUGGGCGUAAAGCGUGCGCAGGCGGUGAUGUAAGACAGGUGUGAAAUCCCCGGGCUUAACCUGGGAACUGCAUUUGUGACUGCAUCGCUGGAGUGCGGCAGAGGGGGAUGGAAUUCCGCGUGUAGCAGUGAAAUGCGUAGAUAUGCGGAGGAACACCGAUGGCGAAGGCAAUCCCCUGGGCCUGCACUGACGCUCAUGCACGAAAGCGUGGGGAGCAAACAGG